GUACACACCGCCCGUCACACCAUGGGAGUAGAGGAUACCAGAAGUUGUUAGGCUAACCGUAAGGAGGCCGAUUACCACGGUAUGUUCUAUGACUGGGGUGAAGUCGUAACAAGGUAUUCGUAGGUGAACCUGCAGAAGGAUCA
rnacentral:rRNA from 1 species